rnacentral:hammerhead_ribozyme from 1 species
UCCCUGCUGACGAGUCCACGAAGGACGAAACGCCGCGUACAGGGA